AUUAGACGAAUCAUCUGGAAAGAUGAAUCAAAGAAGGUAAUAAUCCUGUAGUCGAAAAUGUUGUCUCUCUUGAGUGGAUCCUGAGUACGACGGAGCACGUGAAAUUCCGUCGGAAUCUGGGAGGACCAUCUCCUAAGGCUAAAUACUCUCUAGUGACCGAUAGUGAACCAGUACCGUGAGGGAAAGGUGAAAAGCACCCCGGAAGGGGAGUGAAAUAGAACCUGAAACCGUGUGCUUACAAGUAGUCAGAGCCCGUUAAUGGGUGAUGGCGUGCCUUUUGUAGAAUGAACCGGCGAGUUACGAUUUGAUGCAAGGUUAAGCAGUAAAUGUGGAGCCGUAGCGAAAGCGAGUCUGAAUAGGGCGUUUAGUAUUUGGUCGUAGACCCGAAACCAGGUGAUCUACCCUUGGUCAGGUUGAAGUUCAGGUAACACUGAAUGGAGGACCGAACCGACUUACGUUGAAAAGUGAGCGGAUGAACUGAGGGUAGCGGAGAAAUUCCAAUCGAACCUGGAGAUAGCUGGUUCUCUCCGAAAUAGCUUUAGGGCUAGCCUCAAGUGAUGAUUAUUGGAGGUAGAGCACUGUUUGGACGAGGGGCCCCUCUCGGGUUACCGAAUUCAGACAAACUCCGAAUGCCAAUUAAUUUAACUUGGGAGUCAGAACAUGGGUGAUAAGGUCCGUGUUCGAAAGGGAAACAGCCCAGACCACCAGCUAAGGUCCCAAAAUAUAUGUUAAGUGGAAAAGGAUGUGGCGUUGCCCAGACAACUAGGAUGUUGGCUUAGAAGCAGCCAUCAUUUAAAGAGUGCGUAAUAGCUCACUAGUCGAGUGACACUGCGCCGAAAAUGUACCGGGGCUAAACAUAUUACCGAAGCUGUGGAUUGUCCUUUGGACAAUGGUAGGAGAGCGUUCUAAGGGCGUUGAAGCAUGAUCGUAAGGACAUGUGGAGCGCUUAGAAGUGAGAAUGCCGGUGUGAGUAGCGAAAGACGGGUGAGAAUCCCGUCCACCGAUUGACUAAGGUUUCCAGAGGAAGGCUCGUCCGCUCUGGGUUAGUCGGGUCCUAAGCUGAGGCCGACAGGCGUAGGCGAUGGAUAACAGGUUGAUAUUCCUGUACCACCUAUAAUCGUUUUAAUCGAUGGGGGGACGCAGUAGGAUAGGCGAAGCGUGCGAUUGGAUUGCACGUCUAAGCAGUAAGGCUGAGUAUUAGGCAAAUCCGGUACUCGUUAAGGCUGAGCUGUGAUGGGGAGAAGACAUUGUGUCUUCGAGUCGUUGAUUUCACACUGCCGAGAAAAGCCUCUAGAUAGAAAAUAGGUGCCCGUACCGCAAACCGACACAGGUAGUCAAGAUGAGAAUUCUAAGGUGAGCGAGCGAACUCUCGUUAAGGAACUCGGCAAAAUGACCCCGUAACUUCGGGAGAAGGGGUGCUCUUUAGGGUUAACGCCCAGAAGAGCCGCAGUGAAUAGGCCCAAGCGACUGUUUAUCAAAAACACAGGUCUCUGCUAAACCGUAAGGUGAUGUAUAGGGGCUGACGCCUGCCCGGUGCUGGAAGGUUAAGAGGAGUGGUUAGCUUCUGCGAAGCUACGAAUCGAAGCCCCAGUAAACGGCGGCCGUAACUAUAACGGUCCUAAGGUAGCGAAAUUCCUUGUCGGGUAAGUUCCGACCCGCACGAAAGGCGUAACGAUUUGGGCACUGUCUCAACGAGAGACUCGGUGAAAUCAUAGUACCUGUGAAGAUGCAGGUUACCCGCGACAGGACGGAAAGACCCCGUGGAGCUUUACUGUAGCCUGAUAUUGAAAUUCGGCACAGCUUGUACAGGAUAGGUAGGAGCCUUUGAAACGUGAGCGCUAGCUUACGUGGAGGCGCUGGUGGGAUACUACCCUAGCUGUGUUGGCUUUCUAACCCGCACCACUUAUCGUGGUGGGAGACAGUGUCAGGCGGGCAGUUUGACUGGGGCGGUCGCCUCCUAAAAGGUAACGGAGGCGCUCAAAGGUUCCCUCAGAAUGGUUGGAAAUCAUUCAUAGAGUGUAAAGGCAUAAGGGAGCUUGACUGCGAGACCUACAAGUCGAGCAGGGUCGAAAGACGGACUUAGUGAUCCGGUGGUUCCGCAUGGAAGGGCCAUCGCUCAACGGAUAAAAGCUACCCCGGGGAUAACAGGCUUAUCUCCCCCAAGAGUUCACAUCGACGGGGAGGUUUGGCACCUCGAUGUCGGCUCAUCGCAUCCUGGGGCUGUAGUCGGUCCCAAGGGUUGGGCUGUUCGCCCAUUAAAGCGGUACGCGAGCUGGGUUCAGAACGUCGUGAGACAGUUCGGUCCCUAUCCGUCGUGGGCGUAGGAAAUUUGAGAGGAGCUGUCCUUAGUACGAGAGGACCGGGAUGGACAUACCUCUGGUGUACCAGUUGUCGUGCCAACGGCAUAGCUGGGUAGCUAUGUGUGGACGGGAUAAGUGCUGAAAGCAUCUAAGCAUGAAGCCCCCCUCAAGAUGAGAUUUCCCAA
rnacentral:rRNA from 1 species